AUUGAACGCUGGCGGCAGGCCUAACACAUGCAAGUCGAACGAGUGGCGGACGGGUGAGUAAUGUCUGGGAAACUGCCUGAUGGAGGGGGAUAAUUACUGGAAACGGUAGCUAAUACCGCAUACCAUCGGAUGUGCCCAGAUGGGAUUAGCUAGUGGGUGGGGUAAAGGCUCACCUAGGCGACGAUCCCUAGCUGGUCUGAGAGGGUGACCAGCCAAACUGGAACUGAGACACGGUCCAGACUCCUACGGGAGGCAGCAGUAGGGAAUAUUGCGCAAUGGGCGCAAGCCUGAUGGAGAAAUGCCGCGUGUGUGAAGAAGGCCUGCGGGUUGUAAAAUACUGUCAGCGGGGAGGCGUUACCCGCAGAGGAAGCAACGGCUAACUCCGUGCCAGCAGCCGCGGUAAUUC
rnacentral:rRNA from 1 species